UUCUAUGUUAGUAGUUAUAUGAAAUUAUAGAGAGCUUUGGAUUGACAGUUCAUAUUAUAAAUUCGUUUUGAGAUUGUCAUAAAAUAGUUUUUUCAAUUUAAAUUCAUUCUUCGUUGGUUUAAUAGCAUUGUUUUUGAUUUUUUCAGAUUGAUGAAAUCAAAUCGUCUAUUAUCCGACUGAAUAAGAAAAGAUUUCUUAUAAUUGUAUACUAAACAUAUGAAGUUUUUCGAUUUAACAAUAGACAAUAUUAUAAUGAAGUUGUAAUAAACACACUCUAAUGUACAAAAUCACGCUUAUGAAGAUUCUGUGGAUAACCAGACAAAAUGUAAGAACCAACCAAGGGCGUACUCAGGAUCAAAAAUAACCAUGAUCGUUCAGGUUGUAAUAUUUCAUAAAAUAUAACGAUAAAUUACCCUAA